AGUAACGCGUGAGGAACCUGCCUUUCAGAGGGGGACAACAGCUGGAAACGGCUGCUAAUACCGCAUAACAUAUAGGUAUCGCAUGGUGCCUAUAUCAAAGAUUUAUCGCUGAAAGAUGGCCUCGCGUCUGAUUAGCUAGUUGGUAGGGUAACGGCCUACCAAGGCGACGAUCAGUAGCCGGACUGAGAGGUUGGCCGGCCACAUUGGGACUGAGAUACGGCCCAGACUCCUACGGAAGGCAGCAG
rnacentral:rRNA from 1 species